AGCAGGGUGACUAAUAGACUGCCGAUCGAGUUCGCCUCGGGAACUGUGGUUAAAAUGGAGUAAGCGGGAGGCAAUGAAGAAGUACUGAGGUCGGCAAGACACCUUAUGUCUCUUCUGUCAAAUUCUCAAAGACAAGGAAGUGCAGGGCUUUCUACCAGUCAGGAUAGUGUCAGAGUGAAUAGACAAGAUGGCCGUACUGAGAGAGUGGUAUCUGUCCAGACAGAAAUGACAAGGUUGUUUCCUGGAUUGUUUUUGAGUCGGAGAGGAAAACGGCGCUUUACUGGAGUGUUUCCUGUGCCCAGUAAACAAAAACCAUUUAAUGUUCCACCUGCUGCCAACCCAGUAUGAACGAGGUCCCGAACAGCUGCUCCAUGCUCAGGCAGGAUUAGGACGGAGAACUGCCACCUUGGACGAAAGCAUUACACACCAAGAGAUGGUGCUUUCCCAUGUAUCUUGGACUAAAAACUGUGACGAUGUCAAUGAUGAUGACAACAAAUGGUCACCUGAUACAGUGGAAUGGAUCUCAGGGUACAUGAAGCAAUUCAUUGAGACAGGUCCUUUGCAGUAUCAGGAAAUCUUAGUCAUCCUUUGUCUUAGCAAGUGUAUUUGUGACCUACAGUAUGCAUGUCUAUUCUGUUACAUAGCAUAAGCCUACUUUACAUAAUUUCAAGUUAUAAGGAACCCAAUGGUACUAACAGAUUCAUGUCUCUUCCUGCAUAAAUAUGAGCACUUCAGUGAUGCUUCUCAUGGUUGUUUCAAAACUAAAUAUCAGCAUGUACCAUUUAUAUUAAGACCAUAGACAGUUUUUUGCAGUCAUAUGUAGCAAAACAACUCUGAGGAAACAAUGUGCUGUAAGAUCUCAUUGUGUAAUAAGAAUGAUUUUAUGUAAUGCCAGCAUCCAGCAAGGACCUAAAGAACCUUUUAAAGUUUUGGAUCAGCUGGGAGAUUGCAAGGGAAGAUUUGACAGUGGAAGUCAUGAAUGGUGAUCUCCCAAGAUCCUCUACCUACUUUCGUAUCCUGAGGCUACCAGGGUACUAUACAGAUUUCCAGUCCUUUAAAAAGGUCUUGAUGAUGUGCAUUGGAUCCUCCAAAUAUGGUCAUAUGUAAUAAUAAUAAUAAUAAUAAUAAUAAUUGAUACUUUAUUGAUCCCCGUAGGGAAAUUGUCUCAAUG